AAAAAAAAAACAAAAAAAAAAAACAAAAAAAAAAACUGAAGAAAACCUGGAAAUGAAAGAUUUAGGAACUCAAACAGGAACCUCAGGGGCAAGUCUCACCAAUAGAAUACAAGAGAUGGGAGAGAGAAUCUCAGACACUGAAGAUACUAUAAAAGAAAUGAGUAACUUGGUCAAAGGAAAUCUAAGAAACUCCAGGAACAAAACAUACAGGAAAUCUGGAACUCCAAGAAAAGACCAAAUCUACAACUAAUAGGAAUAGAGGAUGGAGAAGAAACCCAGGUCAAAGGCUGAGGAAAUAGUUUUCAAUAAGAUCACAGGAGAAAAUUUCCCUAACCUAAAGAAGGAGAUGCCUAUCAGGGUAGAAGAAGCAUACAAGACACCAAAUAGAUUGAACCAGAAGAGAAAUUCCUCUCAGCAUAUAAUAAAACUAUAAAGUGUAUAUACAAUAUACAAAACAAAGAAUGAGUAUUAAAUGCUGUAAGGGUGCUAGAAGGAAAAUUUCAACCUGAAGAGGUUAACCUACCCAAGGAACCACAAGGAAUAAAUAAUCUCAGACCAGCAAAUGAAAGGGGUCAGGGAGACAACCAUACUCUCCACAACAACAAAUAAUAGGAAUCAGCAAACACAGACCAGGGUCACUCGGGGUUAACUCAGGAUUCUGCUACCACAUGGACUUCACACACAUAUUUCUGCGGUUUCUGUUUUCCCUUGUCUUCAUCCAAACAGACAACUUGUUUUGGACUCUGAUACCUUAGAUGCAAGGUUUCUGGAGUGGCAGAAAGAAAACAGCCCGAGAACCUUUCUCCCUGGCUUCCAAUCUGUAAAAUCCCAGGGGAGUGUUUGAGGAUACCUGGAAGAGGUAAAGCAGGAGGGAUUUUUUAUUUCAAUUAUUUUUUUAUUUUUUUAUGACAAUCACAUUUACAGAACUGGUAUGACAAAGGGUUAACUGUCUGGAGAACACAGAGCUUGUCUGAGCCAUUCUUCCUGGAAGAACUCCCUGACUGGUGGCAGAUCCCUGAAAAGGGGUUGAGUAAGUAGAAUCACAGGUACCCAUUAAAAUAUUUCUGUGCCCAAGGGACAAACAGUCGUGAGCUUCUGCAUCUCAAAUGACCACAUAGAAGUUACCACAGAAGAAAUGUGUGGACCACCUCUAGCAUUCCCAAACAUCCCAUAAUAUUGCCAAGCCUUAGGGAGAGGGUGUGUUGGUUACUUUUUCUGUUGCUGUGAUAAAACACCAUGACCAAAGCAACUUACAGAAGAAAGGCCUUGUUUGGACUUAUGGUUCCAGAGGGGUAAGUGUUUGUUAUGGUGGGAAAGCCGAGAGCAAGCUGUAGGCAUGACAGUGUUAGACCCCCGGAAACUCAAGUAUUCGGGGUCCCAGGCCACGUUCGCGGUCACCCCAAUCACCAGGCGGAUUCGAGAGCUUGCUGCAAACUGCAUGAGGCUUUAUUGUAAUUUAACGAGCUAACCCUAUGUUAGCUCGGGUCUUUCACCCACCCGCCAUGGCGGAUAGCUAGAAAGACGGUUUGAAGCCGCUGCGUACAGAUCUUUAUAGGGCAGCGUAAGGGGAGUGUCUAGGGGUACGCACAGGCUCACGAUUGGUGUGCCUCCAGGCUUGGAGGGCUUGCCCUGUGUUGAUUGGUCAACUGGUUGUUAUGGCUCAUAGGCCCUCCCAGGGUGGUUGCUAUGCUCUCUAUGUCAUUGCUGUGCACUAGUCCGUAAAGCACACCCAGGGUCGUAAAGCAUAGCGCCACCAGCUAACUUCUGACAGGCAUCUGACUUUCUAGUGACUAGGUCAAGGUCAUAGAAGCACAUGUUCGUCUGUUAUGGCUACCGAAAGGGAAGCUGGUCCCUUCAACAGCACGAGCAGGAAGCCGAGGGCUCGCAUCUUGAACUGCAAGUGUGAAGAAGAGUGUGCAGAACUAGAGAUGGUGCAGGUCUUUAAACUCUGAAAGUCUGCCUUUGGUGACACACUUCCUCCAGCAAAACCACACCUCCUAAGCCUACCCAAGUAGUGCCACCAACUGGGGACCAGGUGUUCAAAUGCCUGGGACAAUGGGAGGUAUUCUCAUUUAUACCAUCACCGUGGAGUGCAUUCCUGCAGACUGAACUUCGGUUCUCACUAGUUCUGCAGAAGGGAAGCUGGGUAUCAGAAGUUACAUUAGUUAUAGAAGAUAAUGGUUAUUGUACAUCUAGUUUUGGCACUGAGGUUUAUAUCCCAUAAAUGAAAAGGGUGGAGUGGCAUCCCAGGAAAGAUACUCUAAUAAGAUGGAGUGCCAGAAAAUAGGAAUUGCCUAUGAGCUAUUCUCUCUGGAUUUGGAUGCUCAAGACCCUAGGCCUCUAGAAGAGUUAGGGAGAUGUAAAGAUUCAAAAGAAGAAAGCUAGAUAGCUAGAUGGUAGAUAUAUGAUAGACAGACAGACAGACAGGUAGGUAGGUAGGUAGGUAGACUGUUGUAGGCAUAAUUCUAGUAAAAGCUAUACUGUACAAACAUAUGCCAGUGUUGUGGUUUGGGAGUACAUGUCUCUCCAAACUUACAUGGAAUCUUAAUUCCCAGUGUGACAGUGUUAAACUAUUGCAGGAGUGGCCAGGCCUUGAGGACUCUGUCCUCAUAAGUGGUAUCACUGUUCUUAUAGAAGGCUUGGGGAAGGGAGUUAACUUCUUUUUGUCUUCUCUACUCCAUGAAGACACAGAAAAUGCCAUCUAUGAUAAACAUCAAAUAUGCUCUCAUGGUGGUCUUGAACUUCCAAGCCUCUGGAACGUUGGAACCAGGUGAAAGGAACAUCUGGGGAAGCUUCCAAGAGACUUUCAAGGGACAAGUACAGAAACAUGGUGUUGGCAUGGACAUAGAGGAGGAGACUUUAAUGCCAGGAUGGAUGUGUCGCAUGGAUAUAUGAGUGUCACUACGGGCCACAUUUGUGUUCGCUCACAUCAUACAUAUGAGUCAAUACCUUCCUUGUGUCAAGAGGUGUCAGACAUUUGGUAGGGUGCUGUGUUACCUUUCCAUUUCUUUGACAACAAAGUUGAGAAAAUCAGUUGGAAAUGGGAUUAUCUUCCCUCUAGAUUUCAGAGGUGCAGGUCUAUAGUUGCCUUACCCUGUUGCUCUGUGCCAUGCUGGCACAAUGUACCAUAGUGGUAGUGUGUGGCCAAGGUGGCCAGGAAGCAAAGAGCAGUAGCUCUCAACAUUCCUAAUGCUGCAACCCUUUAAUACAGUUCCUUUUAAAAUAAUUUCAUUGCUACUUCAUAACUGUAAUUUUGCUACUGUUAUGAAUUGUAAAUAUAUGUUAUGUGGCCCUUGUGGGGUCGUGACCCAGAGAUUGAGAACCAUUGGCAAAGAGUGAAGAGAAGAGGUCAGGAGCCCAAUAUCCCUUCUAGGGAAUGCCUCCAAUACUCUAACUUCUUCCUCUUAAAAGUUUUACCAUUUCCCAUUCGUGCCUUGGACUGAGGACCAAGCUCUUAACUAAUGAACCUUCGGGGGUUGCUUCAUGUUCAAACCAUAUCAGGGUAUAUAGUUUUCUCUGCUAUUUUUCUAUCUAAGAGAGUUGGACUGACCACAGAGUGAACUCAUUUUCCUAUAGCCAAUUAAUUAGUUCUCCUUCCCACACUUAAAAUUUUAUUACACCACACACACAUUUCCUCCUAAUUUUAAGUAUACAACUACUGGAGUUUUAGAUACACAUAUACCCUUGUGCACCAUGGACACGCAGUGCCUGAGGAGGCCAGCAGGGGGCACUGGAUCCUCCCUGGGAACAGAGUUGCAGAUUGUUGUGAGUCACUAUGUGGUUGCUGGGAAUGGAACCCUGGGUCCUCUACAAGGGCAGCAAGUACUCUUAACCAUUGAGCCAUCUCUCUAGCCACCAGUAUUUUAAAUCCUGUCACCAACAAUUAGCUUCUUACACUUUGAAAUAUUGUAUAAAUAAGAUGAAACCACAGUAUUAUGUUUCUGGCCUGUCUUCUAUGAAUCAAAUAAAUGUGACAUUCAUCUGUGUUGGGUCUAUCAGUGGCUUUAAAUUAAGCUGCACUCAAUCUUUGGUUAUAUGAAUGCACGGAAAACUAUUUGUCCUUAAUGCACUCAGGGCACUGGGGUUGUUUUCAGUUUUUCCUUUUACAUUUUAAUGAACAGAUUGGUAGAAAGUUUCUUGCUCUUGUCUUUUCUUAUCCUCUGCAUUCAUGUCUCUUGUGUCAGGAACUGCCAGGUAUGCAAAUUAUGAUGGACCCCCUGGAUGUCAUGUAGCCAUGUAGCCACCAGAGGAAUAAGAUACCAGAGCAUUACCCAUAAGCCACGGCCAUGUGGUGAUGCAUAGAUUAGUAAAAAUGGGUUAAGUU
rnacentral:lncRNA from 1 species